rnacentral:rRNA from 1 species
AGUAACAGUCAGAAAUGGCUGCUAAUACCGCAUAAGCGCACAGAGCUGCAUGGCUCAGUGUGAAAAACUCCGGUGGUAUAAGAUGGACCCGCGUUGGAUUAGCUUGUUGGCGGGGUAACGGCCCACCCAAGGCGACGAUCCAUAGCCGGCCUGAGAGGGUGAACGGCCACAUUGGGACUGAGACACGGCCCAGACUCCUACGGGAGGCAGCAUG